rnacentral:rRNA from 1 species
UACAGAGGGUGCAAGCGUUGUUCGGAAUUAUUGGGCGUAAAGCGCGUGUAGGCGGCUUUGCAAGUCGGGUGUGAAAUCCCUCAGCUCAACUGAGGAAGUGCGCCCGAAACUGCAUUGCUUGAGUGUCGGAGAGGGUGGCGGAAUUCCGGAAGUAGAGGUGAAAUUCGUAGAUAUCCGGAGGAACACCGGUGGCGAAGGCGGCCACCUGGACGAUAACUGACGCUGAGACGCGAAAGCGUGGGUAGCAAACAGG